CCUACGGGAGGCAGCAGUAGGGAAUUUUGCGCAAUGGGGGAAACCCUGACGCAGCAACGCCGCGUGAUUGAUGAAGCCCUUCGGGGUGUAAAGAUCUGUCAGUGGGGACGAAACUUGACGGUACCCACAGAGGAAGCAUCGGCUAACUCCGUGCCAGCAGCCGCGGUAAUACGGGGGAUGCAAGCGUUGUCCGGAAUCAUUGGGCGUAAAGAGUUCGUAGGUGGCACGUUAAGUCUGGUGUUAAAUGCAGAGGCUCAACCUCUGUUCGGCACUGGAUACUGGCGAGCUUGAAUGCGGUAGAGGUAAAGGGAAUUCGUGGUGUAGCGGUGAAAUGCUUAGAUAUCACGAAGAACUCCGAUUGCGAAGGCAGCUUACUAAACUGCCACUGACAUUGAUGCUCGAAAGUGUGGGUAUCAAACAGGAUUAGAUACCCCAGUAGUC
rnacentral:rRNA from 1 species